rnacentral:rRNA from 1 species
AGAGUUUGAUCCUGGCUCAGGAUGAACGCUGGCGGUAUGCUUAACACAUGCAAGUCGAACGGACUCUUCGGAGUUAGUGGCGGACGGGUGAGUAACGCGUGAGAAUCUGCCUACAGAUUGGGGGCAACGUCGGGAAACUGACGCUAAUACCGAAUGUGCCGAGAGGUGAAAGAUUUAUCGUCUGUAGAUGAGCUCGCGUCUGAUUAGCUAGUUGGGGCGGUAACGGCGCACCAAGGCGACGAUCAGUAACUGGUCUGAGAGGAUGACCAGUCACACUGGGACUGAGACACGGCCCAGACUCCUACGGGAGGCAGCAGUGGGGAAUUUUCCGCAAUGGGCGAAAGCCUGACGGAGCAAUACCGCGCGCGGGAGGACGCUUUUUGGAGUGUAAACCGCUUUUCUCAAGGAAGAUGAUGACGGUACUUGAGGAAUCAGCAUCGGCUAACUUCGUGCCAGCAGCCGCGGUAAUACGAGGGAUGCAAGCGUUAUCCGGAAUUAUUGGGCGUAAAGCGUUCGUAGGUGGCAAAUUAAGUCUGUUGUUAAAGCGUGGAGCUUAACUCCAUAUCGGCAAUGGAAACUGGUUAGCUAGAGUAUGGUAGGGGUAACAGGAAUUCCCAGUGUAGCGGUGAAAUGCGUAGAUAUUGGGAAGAACACCAGCGGCGAAAGCGUGUUACUGGGCCAUUACUGACACUGAGGGACGAAAGCUAGGGGAGCGAAAGGGAUUAGAUACCCCUGUAGUCCUAGCCGUAAACGAUGAGAACUAGGUGUUGCGCGUAUCGACCCGCGCGGUGCCGUAGCUAACGCGUUAAGUUCUCCGCCUGGGGAGUACGCACGCAAGUGUGAAACUCAAAGGAAUUGACGGGGGCCCGCACAAGCGGUGGAGUAUGUGGUUUAAUUCGAUGCAACGCGAAGAACCUUACCAGGGUUUGACAUCCUCGGAACUUUCUGGAAACAGAUUGGUGCCUUCGGGAACCGAGAGACAGGUGGUGCAUGGCUGUCGUCAGCUCGUGUCGUGAGAUGUUGGGUUAAGUCCCGCAACGAGCGCAACCCACGUUUUUAGUUGCCAGCAUUAAGUUGGGCACUCUAGAGAGACUGCCGGUGACAAACCGGAGGAAGGUGUGGAUGACGUCAAGUCAGCAUGCCCCUUACAUCCUGGGCUACACACGUACUACAAUGCUACGGACAAAGGGCAGCGAGCCAGCAAUGGUCUGCAAAUCCCAUAAACCGUGGCUCAGUUCAGAUUGCAGGCUGCAACUCGCCUGCAUGAAGGCGGAAUCGCUAGUAAUCGCAGGUCAGCAUACUGCGGUGAAUACGUUCCCGGGCCUUGUACACACCGCCCGUCACACCAUGGGAGUUGGUCACGCCCGAAGUGGUUACCCUAACCGUAAGGAGGGGGACCCCUAAGGCAGGGCUGAU